rnacentral:tRNA from 1 species
ACUAGAAUGGUCGAGUGGUUAAGGCGUUGAACUUAAGAGUCAAUGGAUUUGUAUCCAUGUUGGUUCAAACCCCACUUCUUGUG